GAUGAACGCUGGCGGCGUGCUUAACACAUGCAAGUCGAACGAUGAAGCCCAGCUUGCUGGGUGGAUUAGUGGCGAACGGGUGAGUAACACGUGAGUAACCUGCCCUUAACUCUGGGAUAAGCCUGGGAAACUGGGUCUAAUACCGGAUAGGAGCGUCCACCGCAUGGUGGGUGUUGGAGAGAUUUAUCGGUUUUGGAUGGACUCGCGGCCUAUCAGCUUGUUGGUGGGGUAAUGGCUCACCAAGGCGACGACGGGUAGCCGGCCUGAGAGGGUGACCGGCCACACUGGGACUGAGACACGGCCCAGACUCCUACGGGAGGCAGCAGUGGGGAAUAUUGCACAAUGGGCGCAAGCCUGAUGCAGCGACGCCGCGUGAGGGAUGACGGCCUUCGGGUUGUAAACCUCUUUCAGUAGGGAAGAAGCGAAAGUGACGGUACCUGCAGAAGAAGCACCGGCUAACUACGUG
rnacentral:rRNA from 1 species